AUAGCGUAUAUUAAAGUUGUUGCAGUUAAAAAGCUCGUAGUCGAAUUUUAGCCCUGGCUGGGUGGUCCUCCUUUUGGUAGGUACUGCUUCGGCUGGGGUUCACCUUCUGGUGAGCCAGUGUGCCCCUUACCGGGGGUGCGCUUGGGGAACCAGGACUUUUACUUUGAAAAAAUUAGAGUGUUUAAAGCAGGCAUUUGCUUGAAUACAUUAGCAUGGAAUAAUAGAAUAGGACUUUGGUUCUAUUUUGUUGGUUUCUAGGACCGAAGUAAUGAUUAAUAGGGAUAGUUGGGGGCAUUAGUAUUUAAUUGUCAGAGGUGAAAUUCUUGGAUUUAUGAAAGACUAACUUCUG
rnacentral:rRNA from 1 species